GACAGAGGUGGCAAGCGUUGUUCGGAUUCAUUGGGUGUAAAGGGUCCGUAGGUGGUCGAGCAAGUCUGAUGUGAAAUCCCAUGGCUCAACCGUGGAACUGCAUUGGAAACUGCGCGACUUGAGUACCGCAGAGGUGAAGGGAAUUCCCGGUGUAAGGGUGAAAUCUGUAGAUAUCGGGAGGAACACCAGUGGCGAAGGCGCUUCACUGGGCGGUUACUGACACUGAGGGACGAAAGCAAGGGUAGCAAACAGG
rnacentral:rRNA from 1 species